rnacentral:rRNA from 1 species
AGUGGCGCACGGGUGAGUAACACGUAGGAAUCUGUCUUGAGGUGGGGGAUAACUCCGGGAAACUGGAGCUAAUACCGCAUGAUAACUGAGGUUCAAAGAUCGCAAGACCGCCUUGAGAGGGGCCUGCGUUCGAUUAGUUAGUUGGUGGGGUAAUGGCCUACCAAGACGAUGAUCGAUAGCUGGUUUGAGAGGAUGAUCAGCCACACUGGGACUGAGACACGGCCCAGACCCCUACGGGAGGCAGCAGUGGGGAAUAUUGGACAAUGGGCGGAAGCCUGAUCCAGCCAUGCCGCGUGAGUGAAGAAGGCCUUAGGGUUGUAAAGCUCUUUCACCGGUGAAGAUAAUGACGGUAACCGGAGAAGAAGCCCCGGCUAACUUCGUGCCAGCAGCCGCGGUAAUACGAAGGGGGCUAGCGUUGUUCGGAUUUACUGGGCGUAAAGCGCGCGUAGGCGGAUAGAUAAGUCAGAGGUGAAAUCCCGGGGCUCAACCCCGGAAUUGCCUUUGAUACUGUUUAUCUUGAGUGCAGAAGAGGUAAGUGGAAUUCCGAGUGUAGAGGUGAGAUUCGUAGAUAUUCGGAGGAACACCAGUGGCGAAGGCGGCUUACUGGUCUGCAACUGACGCUGAGGCGCGAAAGCGUGGGGAGCAAACAGGAUUAGAUACCCUGGUAGUCCACGCCGUAAACGAUGGAAGCCAGCCGUUGGCAGAUUUAUCUGUCGGUGGCGCAGCUAACGCAUUAAGCUUCCCGCCUGGGGAGUACGGUCGCAAGAUUAAAACUCAAAGGAAUUGACGGGGGGCCCGCACAAGCGGUGGANCAUGUGGUUUAAUUCGAAGCAACGCG